rnacentral:rRNA from 1 species
GAUGAACGCUGGCGGCGUGCCUAAUACAUGCAAGUCGAGCGAACAGACGAGGAGCUUGCUCCUUUGACGUUAGCGGCGGACGGAUGAGUAACACGUGGGUAACCUACCUAUAAGACUGGGAUAACUUCGGGAAACCGGAGCUAAUACCGGAUAAUAUUUCGAACCGCAUGGUUCGAUAGUGAAAGAUGGCUUUGCUAUCACUUAUAGAUGGACCUGCGCCGUAUUAGCUAGUUGGUAAGGUAACGGCUUACCAAGGCAACGAUACGUAGCCGACCUGAGAGGGUGAUCGGCCACACUGGAACUGAGACACGGUCCAGACUCCUACGGGAGGCAGCAGUAGGGAAUCUUCCGCAAUGGGCGAAAGCCUGACGGAGCAACGCCGCGUGAGUGAUGAAGGUCUUCGGAUCGUAAAACUCUGUUAUUAGGGAAGAACAAACGUGUAAGUAACUGUGCACGUCUUGACGGUACCUAAUCAGAAAGCCACGGCUAACUACGUG